rnacentral:lncRNA from 1 species
CCUAAUUCAUUUACUGCCAAACAAGCUUCGUGCUAUGAGGAGGACCUUUAAGAUGUGGAAGAUCAGAUCCAUGGAGUCGGAUGCUUGGUUGAAUUGGGUGGUGGCGUCGCCAAUGUUAGCGGGGGAGGCAUGGAUUUUCGAUUUGGAUGGCAUUUCGGGCGAUUUAGGGGUGGACCUUUGGUGAUGGAUCAGGUGCAGGAAGAAGGUUUUGGGAUAUGGUGUUUAUGGUGGUUGAUGGUGCAUCUGGCGAUGUUGUGGCAGUGGCUGGCACUGUCGGAUCUGGUGGUUGUGGUGGUUGAUGGUGCAUUUGGUGGUGGAGUGCGAUGGGAGGUUACGGUGCGAAGUGGUGUUUUGUGCGGUGGUGGUGAUAGUAUGUUCAUUGUGUGGUGGUGAAUCUGGCGGUUGUGAUGAUGGUGGUGUGGUGCGGUGGUGGCACGGUGGUUGAUGGCGGGUGUGGUGCAGUGGUGGCACUGGUGGUUGAUGGUUGAUGUUGUGCGGUAAAUGUGGUGGUUUUGGUUGUUAA